rnacentral:rRNA from 1 species
AGGACGAACGCUGGCGGCGCGCCUAACACAUGCAAGUCGAGCGAGAACCAGGGCUUGCCCUGGGGACAGCGGCGAACGGGUGCGUAACACGUGAGCAACCUGCCCCAAAGACCGGGACAACCCGAGGAAACUCGGACUAAUACCGGAUGCCCUCACCGGGUCGCAUGGUCUGGUGAGGAAAUGGAUUCCGCUUUGGGAUGGGCUCGCGGUCUAUCAGCUUGUUGGUGGGGUAACGGCCUACCAAGGCGACGACGGAUAGCUGGUCUGAGAGGACGAUCAGCCACACUGGGACUGAGACACGGCCCAGACUCCUACGGGAGGCAGCAGUGGGGAAUCUUGCGCAAUGGGGGAAACCCUGACGCAGCGACGCCGCGUGCGGGAUGAAGGCCUUCGGGUUGUAAACUCUUUUACCCGGGAAGAUAAUGACUGUACCGGGAGAAUAAGCUCCGGCUAACUUCGUGCCAGCAGCCGC